UACGUAGGGGGCCAGCGUUGUCCGAAGUUACUGGGCGUAAAGAGCGCGUAGGCGGGUCUUUAAGUGAGUGGUGAAAGGUUCGGGCUCAACCCGGACACUGCCUUUCAUACUGGGGACCUUGAGUGCGGGAGGGGCGAGUGGAAUGGUCGGUGUAGCGGUGAAAUGCGUAGAUAUCGAUCGGAACACCCAUGGCGAAGGCAGCUCGCUGGUCCGCAACUGACGCUGAGGCGCGAAAGCGUGGGGAGCAAACAGG
rnacentral:rRNA from 1 species